rnacentral:rRNA from 1 species
GUUUCCUACGGGGCGCAGCAGUAGGGAAUUUUCGUCAAUGGGCGCAAGCCUGAACGAGCGAUGCCGCGUGAGUGAAGAAGGCCUUCGGGUCGUAAAGCUCUGUUGCGGGGGAAAAAAGGCAGCAUCAGGAAAUGGGUGCUGACUGAUGGUGCCCCGCCAGAAAGUCACGGCUAACUACGUGCCAGCAGCCGCGGUAAUACGUAGGUGGCGAGCGUUAUCCGGAAUGAUUGGGCGUAAAGGGUGCGUAGGCGGCCUGCUAAGUCUGGAGUGAAACGCAUGAGCUCAACUCAUGCAUGGCUUUGGAA